rnacentral:tRNA from 1 species
GCGGGCGUGGUGGAAUGGUAGACACGUUGGUCUUAGAAGCCAAUGCUUUCAAGCGUGAAGGUUCAAGUCCUUUCGCCCGCACCA